GCCAAAACCAACUCCAAAGCCAACCCCAAAGGCAACGCCAAAACCAACUCCAAAGCCAACGCCAAAACCAACCCCAAAAGCCACUCAGAAACCAACUCCCAAAAAGCUAGAACCGGCAAAACAACCUCUGCCUCCCGGUGCAAUAUUUCACGCACACAACAGGAAACCUGAAGCUACCGUAGCUACGCUGACGAAGGCUGUAACAGAGAGCAAGCAGAACCAACACCUCGACACUGUUCAGAAUCAAUUCCCAGCGAGGGCUGCCAACAUACACUCAGGCGGGAAUUCUCUGUCGACCCACACCAAGGUUAUCCUCGUAUCGUUGUCCAUCAUCACUAUUGCUCUCACCGUCACCGUUAUUGGCGUCUGGUUCAGGAGAAUAAACCUGUACACCGCGCGGUACGGGAGACACACACUGCUGGAGGAGAACGACGAAGAAUUUGGCGUCUUCAACCGACUCACUUACAACUCAUAUGAUGACAACUCCUACGAGUCAUGGAAGAAUCACACCUACUGAACCCCCGGGCAUGUUUACCAAGUCUGACAUCAUAAUAGCACCAUAGAUAUUUACGUCAUAUGGAAAGAUUUGGUUAGGUUGCAGGAGUAGCCAGAGUUAUUACUUCACAAUGCAGUACGCGACUUGGCCAAUCAGAUUGAAGUAUUUGUUUAUGUUAAUGAGUGAAGCUUCUUUUAAUUGUUCAUGGCUUUGGAAGGUUCAUACCCGCCAUAUACAAGUGAAGAAAGUCAAACAGAUAACUCGACCAGUGAUACCAACUUCCAAAAUUCAUAAAGUGAAGCAUUUUAUUUAUUCAGAUGUCGACAAAUAUUAGGAAAGAAGCAAAAAUCCAAAAUGCCUAACUACAGACAAGAUAUAUCACCAUAGUCUUAGAUUUUAUCAUCAGAAAGUGUUUCAAACAUACACUUUCAACAUCAAUAGUAAAACAAGAUUAAUUUACAAAGUACUGUACAUAAAAACACAGAGAAAAAAGUCUUCCAAGUCACUACGCACUAAGGCUAUACGUUUAAGUGUUGAUAUGUGAACUAGUUAAGUAAGUAAUGUUAAUUUGUAUCUACAGUAUAUGUAUUUUUCGUCA